rnacentral:rRNA from 1 species
GUCCACGCCAUAAACGAUGUCAACUGGUUGUUGGACGGCUUGCUGUUCAGUAACGAAGCUAACGCGUGAAGUUGACCGCCUGGGGAGUACGGCCGCAAGGUUGAAACUCAAAGGAAUUGACGGGGACCCCGCACAAGCGGUGGAUGAUGUGGUUUAAUUCGAUGCAACGCGAAAACCUUACCUACCAUUGACAUGUCUGGAAUCCUGAAGAGAUUUAGGAGUGCUCGAAAGAGAACCAGAACACAGGUGCUGCAUGGCCGUCGU